GACGAAGGCACGAAGCAAGCAAAAAGAUUUUCUUGUUCCCCUGUUAGCUUUCCCUAGUUUUUCUUUUUAUUAUUAAGUUUAUCAUGAUUGUUAGUUAAAUUAACAGAGAGAGGGUUUUGGAAGGUUAAACUAAGGAUGCAUUCAAUUUAAGAAGUGGCACAAUAGGGCACAACAGAGACAUUGACUUUUAAUAACUGUUUGCAAUGAAAAACCGGCUAUGAUCACACAUGAGAAGAUGCACCCGAAGAAUAACAUAGCUCAUUAUUGUCCAAAUAAAUGAUCAAGAACAAAAAAAUACUGUUAAGUUAAAGAUAAAAUCUUAUCAUGGGGCAUAUGAUCCCACAUAAAUUUUGUCAUUUGUCAUGGGGCAUACUAUCACUGAUUCUCAACCCCACAAAACACAAGAAGUAAAAAGGUAAAAUGUUUCAUACAAAACAAAUGAUUCCACUACUUGAGGGAAAUUGGGGUUGGGGGGAUGAAGAUGGCUAUUUUGGCAACUGAAGACAAUGCAAAAGAAGCAGAAGUAAAAAGGUAAAAUGUUUC
rnacentral:lncRNA from 1 species